CUCCAACCUUUAGAGGCUUGUAUCUUAAUUGCCUUCUACACUGCAAGAAGACAGUUAUCUCUGACAAUGAAUUCCGCCCACUGGAAACUCAAGCUUGCCUCUACAAAUGGAAGUUGUUGGCUGCCAUGAUCCAAAGCCUAACAAGUUGGUAGCAUCAGUAGAACCUUGUUGAUGCACACGAGCAUCAAGGAAGACACCAGGCAAAACUUAGUUAUCUCUGACGAUAAAGUCCUCCCGUUGGAAACUCAAGCUUGCCUCUACAAAUGGAAGAUGUUGGCUGCCAUGCAUAUGGCAUUGGCACCUACUCUGUAAUUGAUGGUUGUAGUUAGAAGUUAAUUUGUUUCAAUCUCUUGUUUGUUUCAAUGGAUGUGUAUUAUAUUUUUUUAUGUAUUCUGUUUUAGAGUAAUUUUUUUUUUAAAUUUUAAUUUUGUGAAAAACUUUUUCGGGCGAGCAAUCAUCGCCGCAAUAAACUUUUGCCAUAUAUGCAAUUUCCGGCAAGAAACAAUAGCCGCAAAUAAACUUUUCUGACUUGUUUAAGGUGCCAGAAAUAACCCCAUUAGCCAUGUUGGAUUAUACUGGUGAGUUUUUACUCUUGGAAUACUUUUCCCACAACGAAAAAUAGCCAUAA